CCUCUGCGGCUGCUGAUUGGCUGAGCGGGAAGGUCCUUUUACGACACAAACACAAGGAAGUGUAGCACAGCAGGGGACUGACACAGAGAUAGCAGUAGCAGCAGGGGAAUGUGGAGGAAAAUUCUAGCUGCCCGAUGUCAUGACUAGAAGGAUGAUUUGCUCCUACUGAUCUAAAUAGGAGGUGAAGACAGAUCGGCCCCCAAGUGGUGACAAAAGGGAGAUGAUCUUAAUUUCUGCAGUGUACAAGAAAAGAACGGUCCUUACAAGAAAAUAUUGGAUAACUUCCAACCUACAUGUGAUCAGGACUUGUGCCAGUCCUGUAGUUCUGUACCACAUUCAAGAAUGAGAAAGCUCAGGAUGAACCAUGCUAUAAAAAGGGGGUGGUGUGGUAAAUGAAGUUCUGUGAUAAUAAAGAG